rnacentral:rRNA from 1 species
UACGUAGGGUGCAAGCGUUAAUCGGAAUUACUGGGCGUAAAGCGUGCGCAGGCGGUUUUGUAAGUCUGACGUGAAAUCCCCGGGCUCAACCUGGGAAUUGCGUUGGAGACUGCAAGGCUGGAGUCUGGCAGAGGGGGGUAGAAUUCCACGUGUAGCAGUGAAAUGCGUAGAGAUGUGGAGGAACACCGAUGGCGAAGGCAGCCCCCUGGGUCAAGACUGACGCUCAUGCACGAAAGCCAGGGGAGCGAACGGG